UACGUAGGGUGCGAGCGUUGUCCGGAAUUAUUGGGCGUAAAGAGCUCGUAGGCGGUGUGUCGCGUCGGGUCGUGAAAACUUGGGGCUUAACCCUGAGCUUGCGGUCGAUACGGGCAUGACUGGAGUUCGGCAGGGGAGACUGGAAUUCCUGGUGUAGCGGUGAAAUGCGCAGAUAUCGAGAGGAACACCUGCGGCGAAGGCGGGUUGCUGGGCUGACACUGACGCUGAGGCGCGAAAGCUAGGGGAGCGAACGGG
rnacentral:rRNA from 1 species